GCUAUGGAUUUGAAAAGUGUUCUUUUGAAUAGACGAGCAACAGCAUCAUGUCCACCAAGUAAUGGAAUGACUGGAUUUUGUGUCUUUGACCCAAAUGUGAACUGUAUAUCUAAUACUGAGUGCCACGGAGGUGAAAUAUGCUGUCCCCAAGGAUGUAACAGCAUCUGUAUGAAACCCGUACACCACUGAAUCCACGGUAGUUUCUUGACUAAAAUCAGGAUUAAACAUUCUUAAUUAUAUUGAU